UACGUAGGGACCGAGCGUUGUCCGGAAUCAUUGGGCGUAAAGAGCGUGUAGGCGGCCACUUAAGUCCUGCGUGAAAUCUUGCGGCUCAACCGCAAGCGGUCGUGGGAAACUGGGUGGCUAGAGUGCGGGAGAGGAGAGUGGAAUCCCUGGUGUAGCGGUGGAAUGCGCAGAUAUCAGGAAGAACACCCGUGGCGAAGGCGGCUCUCUGGAACGCAACUGACGCUGAGACGCGAAAGCGUGGGGAGCGAACAGG
rnacentral:rRNA from 1 species